UACAGAGGUCUCAAGCGUUGUUCGGAUUCAUUGGGCGUAAAGGGUGCGUAGGCGGCGCGGUAAGUCGGGUGUGAAAUCUCGGAGCUUAACUCCGAAACUGCAUUCGAUACUGCCGUGCUUGAGGACUGGAGAGGAGACUGGAAUUUACGGUGUAGCGGUGAAAUGCGUAGAUAUCGUAAGGAAGACCAGUGGCGAAGGCAGGUCUCUGGGCCACUACUGACGCUGAGAAGCGAAAGCAUAGGGAGCGAACAGG
rnacentral:rRNA from 1 species